GCAGAGCUAAGCAGAGCAAAGCUGAGCCCCUGGUCCCAAGCUGGACAUGGAGGCGUAAUCUGAGGUUGAGAUACCUCCGAGGCAUCUUGGCCACGUCUAGAGGGACGCUAGUGUCGGGGGCCUGGAGCUCGGAAGAGAGGGGAGCUCUGUAGACACCCAUUUGGGCCUGAUGGGCACAGAAAUGACACUUGAACGGCGGGAGCUGAUUAGACCGCCAGGAGGGCUGAUGUAGAAAAAGGAGAAGGCUGCCCAGGAGGAGAGCCUGGCGAAUGGAUGACGAGAAAGCCAAGGAAACUGAGGAGCAGGCAUGAAAGCAGAAGGAGAAACGGGGCAGUGGCGUCCCAGAGGCCACGCCAGGACUCAGUGUCCAGGAGGAGGGUCAACAGUGUCCAACAGAGCAGAGACUUUGCUCAGGACAAUCAAAGACCCCUGGAUUUCAGCAGACAAGACAAACAAGCGUCCACAUUAAAGGCCACAGCUUGAGGGCACUUCUUAUCUCUCCCAGGCUUCUUGAGGGGCCCUUUCUGACCCUGGAAUGGGAAACGGCGAGCCAGCAGCGGAGAGGGAACUGCCACGGCCACUGCAGAGGCAGGAGAAAAGGUUUGAAGUCCUGGUUCUGAGCCAGAUUAGCCGGGCCCCCUUUUCUCUAACGCUCAGUCUUUGGUGACUGGUGUAGGCAAAGGCUGAGGUUCUCCCCCUUGACCCACACUAACUCCCCUUGCCACCAUGGCUGCCACGUCCUGUUCUAAGGCCUCCUCCAGCUCGGAUGUUCUCAGCUCUCAGGAUUCUCCCAUCUGGGACAUUGUCUGUUCCCACAUUCCACGUUCCGGGGUCCUUCCUAGCUCGGCCAUUCUGGGAAUCCGUUCUCUAAAGCCCUCUAACCCCAGGCUGAAGGAAGCUGGGCGACAUUUGUUCUGCCACUCCCUUGCCUUUUGCUGAUGGGAUGGGUUUUGCUCUGUUAAUGAGUGGUUUGUGGAGUGGCGGCUGUUCUGGGUCUCUGUUCUACCUCUGCUGCUUCAGGGUUUGCUGGUUCCCUGUACCACCUCUUCAAGGGGAGGUGCAGGUACGAGAGGCCAAGGGAUGGGCAGGGCCAGGGUGAUGGGCCUAGGGAGAGAGCAGUCAAGCCAAGCAGGGACACUUCUGCUCUUCUGGAAUGGGCCUCUUCCCCUGUCUGGAAUGACCCUGGACUUUUCCCAGCUCUGACUGCCCCCGUCCUUCAGGGUCCAGGUCUCAAGCCCAUCCUGAUCCUCCCCCCAGAAGGGACCCCCCCAAAUUCUAGCAGCUCUCCUAUACCUUUUAGGGUUUUUAUGCUGUUUAAUAAGAACAUUUUACUUUCCAUUUUAGUAAUUUCUCCUUUGAUUUUUAGGAUUUCCAAUUGAGCCUUCAAUCGGGGAUUCUUACUGGAUUCUUUUUUUAGUUCUUUAAUUGCAUGCCCAAUUCACGAGCUGCAUUUUCCUCGGUUUUAUUGAGUAAGAAUUGGAGUUAGAAAGGGCCAUCAAAAUCAUCCAGUGCUGGAUUUGAAGCUGCAAGGCUGGGUUCCAAUUCUAGCCCUUUCCCCUUUGUCCCUGUGAGACUCUAGGCAAGUGACCUCUUUUCUCUGAACCUCAGUUUCCCCAUCUAUGAGUGAGCAGAUUGGCCUGGCUGACCUUCUAGGGCCCUUCCAGCUCUUCCAGGUGCUUUUUGGAAUUAUUAUACCAUUUGGGUUUGACAACGAUUCUGGGAAAAGUGGGUGCUGUUACUAUUUCCAUUUCACCACUGAGGAAACUGAGGUAGACAUAGUAGACAUAGCAGCAGGGUUUGAACUCAGUCUUCAUGCCUCCAUGUCUUGCCAAGAUGCCACUGUAAUGCUAAUGAUGGACAUUCCUAUAACCUCAAAUAAAAGAUCAUAAGACAUGGGCAGCGAGGUAGCUGAGCCCUGAGGUCCUGGGCUGAAAUCUAGCUUCAGAUACCUCUGAGCUGUGUGACCCUGGGCAAGUCUCUUGCCUAGUCUUUACUGCUCCACCGAUAUACAAUGUUGAUUUUAAAAUGGAAAGUAAAGGUUUUAUUUAAAAAAAUGUUUUAAAUAUCAUAGGAUCAGGCUUAGGAAGGAUAUCAAGCCCAACCCUACUCAUUUUACAGGCAAGCAAACAAAGGUCCAAGGAAGGAACUGGACUUGCUCAAGGUCACACAAUUAAUAUAUGUCUGAGGUCAGAUUUGAACCAGGCUUUCUUGGCUCCUAGCCCAGAACUCUAUCCACUGCACUAUGAUGUUAGUAUUAUUAUUAUUGACCCAAUAAUAGAGUGACUAUCCUUUAUAUAAUGCUUUAUAAGUAUCACUUCAUUUAGUUCUCACACCAACCCUGAGAGGCAGGUGCUUUUAUUAGCCCCAUUUUAUAGAUGAGGAAAUUGAGGCAAACAGAGGUUAAGCAACUCACCCAGCCAGUCAAUGCCUGAGGGUGGAUUUGAACUCAGAUCUUACAAUUUAUUGUGACACCUAUCUGCCUCCCACAUUCAGAUAGAAUUAGAUAGAAUGUAGACUCCUUGAAAGCAAAGAUUAUUUUUAAUUUUCACUUUGUAUCCCCAGGACGUUCCGCAGUGCCCACAACAGAGCAGGUCUUGGUGAGUGAUUGUUGCAAUUUCUAGACAACUUCAGAAAGCACUUGAUAGAAUUUAGCCCACCUGAUCCUCUCCCCAACUACUAUGAGCUAGGCAGGGUAGAUAUUGUUACUAUUCAGUGGUUUUAGCCAUCUCCAACCCUUCCUGACCCCAUUUGGGGUUUUCUUGGUAAAGAGACUGAAGCAGUUUACCAUUUUCUUCCCCAGCUCAUUUUAUAGAUGAGAAAACUGAGGCAAAUGGGGUGAAAUGACUUGCUCAGGGUCACACAGCUAGCAUGUGUCUGAAGCCAAAUUUGAACUGACUCCAGGUCCUGUGCUCUCUCGACUGAGCCAUCUAACUGCCCACAUAUUCUCUCCAUUUCAUAGAUGAGGAAACUGAGGCUCAGAGACUUGCUCAGAGUCAGAAAGCAGGAGUUGGAUUCUUUUCCUUGAUCUCCCUCCUGUUGCAUACAAGUCCAGUAUUCUGCUUUUCCCUUACCCAGGAGAAUGCAAGUUCCUUGAGACUAGGGGUUUUUGUUGUGUUUUUCUCUUUGAAGUUCUAGUGCCCAGAACACUUAAUAAACGCUUGUGUCAUAUUCCCUAAGUGUAAGGCCAGAAUCCCAACUCAACUCUUAAGACUACAAAGCUAUACUCCGGCUCCAUUAAGGAACCCUGUAUACAACAAGUGCAUCAUUAUUGUUUCUUGAAUGGAAGGAAUUACAGAAUGAAAGAGAAAUGGUUCCCAGUUACCAAUAGGAUGAUAGGCCAAUGCUUGGAUGCUUGGAGAGACCUUAGAAGGUGUCUAGACGAAUCAGUUCUUUUUCUAGUUGAGGAAAUGGAGUUCCAGAGAGAAGUGACUUUUCCAAAGUCACAUGCCAAGCUAGAAGCAGAGGCAGAACUAUCCCAUAGACUUCAGACUUCCACCCAGGAGAAAUUUUUGACCAGACCAUGUUUUACCUAACAGGUAGCUGGGAUGGACUAUAUCCAGGCUCAGACCCAGGACCUUCUAAUGCAGUGAUGGUUAAUCUUUUAGAGAUUAAGUGCCCAAAUGGCACCUUCAUGCCACAUGUGAAUUGCUCCCUUGCCCCUGACAAGGGAGGGAGGAAGGACUCCCAUUGGGCUGCUGGGCAGAGAGGUGGACGAAGUGAAAAAUGCCCUCAGACAUAGUGGAAAGGGGGCAAGGAACAGCCCCUCUGGCACAUGUUCCAGAGGUUCACCAAAAUGGUUUUAAUGUCAUCAGAUUUUCCAGGAUUCAUUAUAGCAGAUGGAGUUGAAAGGAGGGGUUGCUGGGAAGAGAUCUUUGUUUGCAUUAGAGGAACAAAGAUGGCCUCAGUGACUUUUACCAGCUGAGAUAUGGAUGGAGUCCCUCCCUUCUGGAGCCCCACAAGGGUUUAUCUCUCCCCAACUUACUGGGUGCUUCUCAUUCGAUUAGAGGGAGUGCAGGAGUGGGGGUGAGGAGGAGCUCUGUAUCAGAAAUGAUCUGCUUUGUGGAAGAAGCAAGAUGCUGCCCCAAGGUUGUGGAGAUGCCAGAUAAGGCAGGCGUAUCUUCCCAGGAGAAAUCCUUCCAAGAAACAGGUAGAGGAAAAGCGGUACUUAAAGACACAGGAGGAGGAAUUCAAAUAUUCAAAUGUGUACAUCAUCAAAAGCAAAUCAGCAGGUGGAGGGAGGAAACUGGGCUUGGGAAGAUCUAGUUUCCUGGCACUUGCUACCAAGAGACCCUGAGCAAGUCAUUUCCCUUUGGACCUCACUCUCUUCAUAUGCCAUAAUAAUGCUUAGAGUAUCUCCCUCCUAGAACAAUUCUAGGGCUCAAGGGAGGGAAAGCAGAGCCCAUGUCUGUCCUGGGUAGCAGAGCAUCUGGGCAGGUCUAACUCUGCCAUUCGUUAGCUGUUGCAACUGGGACCAUCAGAAGGAGGAUGAAUUUUGAAUGAAAGAACUAGGGCUAUAAGGAACCUCAGGGGCCACCUAACCUAAAUUACCCAUUUUCCAGAGAAGGAAACUGAGGUCUUAGGAGGUUGGUUGACUUACCAGUUCCUUGAAGAGAGUAAGGGGAAGAUCCUAGACUUGAAUACAGGUUCCCUGACCUGAAAUCCAGCUCUCUUUCCAUAGUAGCACUCACCAAACUCUCAGAGAGCAACACCCUUUCCUUUCCCCCAGACAAACUCCCAGAGAUCUUCAGCAUUCAAAUCCUGGCCCUGGCAUUCUCUUUGAGGAGGAAGAAAGCCCAUUUCAUUCAUUUAGGCCAUUGACUCCCCCCGUACCUAGCACACUGCCUGGCACAGUUAUUGUUCAGUGGUUUCAGACAUCUCUGACUCUUCUUGACCCCAUUUGGGGUCUUGUUAGCAAAUAUACUGGAGUAGUUUGCCAUUUCCCUCUCCAGCUCAUUUUAUAGCUGAAGAAACUGAGGCAAAUAGGGUAAAGUGACUUGUCCAGGGUCACAAAGCUAGGAUGCAUCUGAGGCUAGAUCUGAACUCAGGACUUCCUAGCUCUAGGGCCUAGUGCUCUAUCCACUAUACUACCUAGCUGCCUUGGCACACAGUAGGUGAUUAAUAACCAUUGGAUUGAUUAUUCCAAAAACCCUAAACAAGUAAACCUAUAUUUAGUCCAAUAUUUUUUUAUUCAUCAGUUUACUGAACUAACCAGGCUCUCUGAUCUUUACCAAUAAGUUCUAAGCCUGAGUCACAUCCCUCUUGGCCUCCUCUUCCUCACCUCUAAUAGGAGGGGAAGUCAAGGCUGUGACACAGUUGCUCCUUUCGAAGAAGAAACAGGCCCCCGGCUCUCUCUGUGCCCCAGACAACUCUCUGAGCCUGGGCUCCUUAACUUUGGAGCCCCUGCUCCAUUUUAGGGGGGAUCUGGCACCCUUGUUUCCAUAGAAUUGCUUUCCUUGGUAAUCUUCUGGGCUUUCUUCUGCAUUUUAAAACUUUUUUUUUCUGCAAAGAGGUCCAUAGACUUCACCAGCCUGAGUGCCAGAGGGGUCCAGGACCCACAGAGCAAGGGAAAGAGCUUUGCCCCAAGACUUCAUCGGUGCAGUAAACACUUAUUAAGCACCUGCUGUGUGCCCAGUGCUGUUCAAGUCACAGAUGGUCUGCUCGGCUACAGAAGGAACUGUCACCUACCUUCCCAGCCUCAUGAUACAGAGCUCCCAUUUGCCUGCUCUAAAGUUCUGCCAAACUGCCUUCUUGCUGGUCCUCAACAAUACUAUUCUAUCUCCUCUCUGGAGGCAGCUGGUGGCACAAUGGAGAGAGUGUUGGGCCUGGAGUCAGGAGGACCUCAAUUCAAAUCCAGUCUCAGAUAUUUUUGCUAACUGAGUGACCCUCAGCAAGUCACUUAACUGCUCUCUGCCUCAGUUUCCUCAUUUUAAAAAAUGGGAAUAAUAAUAAUAAUCUCAGGAACCCUCAACAAGUCAUUUAACUACUCUCUGCCUCAGUUUCCUCAUUUUUUAAAAUGGGAAUAAUAAUAACAAUCCCAGGAACCCUCAAGAAGUCACUUAACUACUCUCUGACUCCAUUUCCUCAUUUUUAAAAAUGGGAAUAAUAAUAAUAAUCCCAGGAACCCUCAACAAGUCAAUUAACUACUCUCUGCCUCAGUUUCCUCAUUUUUAAAAAUGGGAAUAAUAAUAAUAAUAAUCCCAGCAUUGUUGUGAGGAUUGAACUCAGAUCAUGUUUGCUAAGUGGUUAGCACAGUGCCUGGCACAUAGUGGGCAUCAUAUAAAUGCUUUCUCCCUCCCUUCCCUCCCCUCCUUUCCCUGGUCUGCAGCUAUGGCUCAGAUGCCAAUAAACCUUUCCAGGCAAUACUACACAGCUCUCCACUCUAUAUUUCAGCCCAAAUGGUCUACUUCUUAUUCCCCAGGGGGGAAUGAUUCAUUCCCCACUUCCACACCUUUGCUCAGGCUAUCCUGAGUAUCUAGAAUGUGCUCUGCCACUCUAAUUUCCUUCAGAUCUCAGUUCUCAAAGGUUGCCUUCCCCAUGCAGCCUUUCCUGAUCCUCCCUCCCCCAAAUAGUCUAUUAGAAUGGGUUCUCCUGGACUUAGUUUACUUAUACUUAUAAAAGAGUUUAUUGUCUCCCUAUGUUAGCUAGCAUUUAUAUGGAGCUUACUGUGUGCCAAGAACUGUGCUAAGCCCUUUGCAAACAUUAUCUCACGUGAGCCAUACUCCAGCCCUGGUAGGUAGAUCUUAUUAUUCUGCUCAUUUGUCAGAUGAAGACAUUAAGGCAAGCAGAGUCAAAUGACUUGUCUAAGUUAAUGCAUCUAGUAAGUGUCUGAGUCUAGAUUUGAACUCAGAUCUUCCUGACUCCAGGCCCUGUACUCUAUUCACUGCACCACCCAGCUUUCCUCUGGAAUGUAAUCUUGAAGGCACAGACGGUUACAUUUUUGAUCUGCAGCUUUCCUAGAACCUGGCUCAGUACGUGGUGGGAAUUUAAUGUUUGUCGACCGCCUGAUCAACCAAGAAAAGGGAGGCAGGUUCUACACCCCAGAAAUCACAGGCCCAGGCACAAUCCAAAGACUCCUCCCAGCUAGCCCCUGUGAAAUGUUCUGUUCUCUGGGUGACAGGGAAGGAAUGAUUGUUCUUGGAGGCCUCCCACUCCAGAAUUCUGUCUGAGCCAACACCAAGCAGCUUCCAGUGCAAUCCAGCCCUCUGGGGGUGUGACAUCAUCCCCUGGGGAAGAGGAGGGCAGGUGUGUGUGUGUGUGUGUGUGUGUGCGCGUGUGAGUGUGUGAAUGUGUGUGAGUGUGAGUAUGUGUGUGUGAGUGAGUGUGAGUGUGUGAGUGUGAGUAUGUGAGUGUGAGUAUGUGUGUGAGUGAGUGUGAGUGUGUAUGAGAAAGUGAGGUGUGUGUGUGAGUGUGUGUGUAUUUGAGAGUGAGCUGUGUGAGUGAAUGAGUGUGUGUGAGUGUGUGAGUGUGUGUGAGUGUGAGUAUGUGUGUGUGAGUGAGUGUGUAUGAGAGAGUGAGGUGUGUGAGUGUGUGAGUGUGUGUAUGUGAGAGUGAGCUUUGUGAGUGAAUGAGUGUGUGUGAGUGUGUGAGUGUGUAUGUGUGAGUGUGUGUGAGUGUGUGAGUGUGUGAAUGUGUGUGAGUGUGAGUAUGUGUGUGUGAGUGAGUGUGAGUGUGUGAGUGUGUGUGAGUGUGAGUAUGUGUGUGUGAGUGAGUGUGUAUGAGAGAGUGAGGUGUGUGAGUGUGUGUAUGUGAGAGUGAGCUUUGUGAGUGAAUGAGUGUGUGUGAGUGUGUGAGUGUGUAUGUGUGAGUGUGUGUGAGUGUGUGAGUGUGUGAAUGUGUGUGAGUGUGAGUAUGUGUGUGUGAGUGAGUGUGAGUGUGUGAGUGUGUGUGAGUGUGAGUAUGUGUGUGUGAGUGAGUGUGUAUGAGAGAGUGAGGUGUGUGAGUGUGUGUAUGUGAGAGUGAGCUUUGUGAGUGAAUGAGUGUGUGUGAGUGUGUGAGUGUGUAUGUGUGAGUGUGUGUGAGUGUGUGAGUGUGUGAAUGUGUGUGAGUGUGAGUAUGUGUGUGUGAGUGAGUGUGAGUGUGUAUGUGUGAGUGUGUGUGAGUGUGUGAGUGUGUGAAUGUGUGUGAGUGUGAGUAUGUGUGUGUGAGUGUGUGUGAGUGUGUGAGUGUGUGUGAGUGUGAGUAUGUGUGUGUGAGUGAGUGUGUAUGAGAGAGUGAGGUGUGUGAGUGUGUGUAUGUGAGAGUGAGCUUUGUGAGUGAAUGAGUGUGUGUGAGUGUGUGAGUGUGUAUGUGUGAGUGUGUGUGAGUGUGUGAGUGUGUGAAUGUGUGUGAGUGUGAGUAUGUGUGUGUGAGUGAGUGUGAGUGUGUAUGAGAGAGUGAGGUGUGUGUGAGUGUGUGUGUAUUUGAGAGUGAGCUGUGUGAGUGAAUGAGUGUGUGUGAGUGUGUGAGUGUGUGUGAGUGUGAGUAUGUGUGUGUGAGUGAGUGUGUAUGAGAGAGUGAGGUGUGUGAGUGUGUGAGUGUGUGUGUAUGUGAGAGUGAGCUUUGUGAGUGAAUGAGUGUGUGUGAGUGUGUGAGUGUGUAUGUGUGAGUGUGUGUGAGUGUGUGAGUGUGUGAAUGUGUGUGAGUGUGAGUAUGUGUGUGUGAGUGAGUGUGAGUGUGUAUGUGUGAGUGUGUGUGAGUGUGUGAAUGUGUGUGAGUGUGAGUAUGUGUGUGUGAGUGAGUGUGAGUGUGUAUGAGAGAGUGAGGUGUGUGUGAGUGUGUGUGUAUUUGAGAGUGAGCUGUGUGAGUGAAUGAGUGUGUGUGAGUGUGUGAGUGUGUGUGAGUGUGAGUAUGUGUGUGUGAGUGAGUGUGUAUGAGAGAGUGAGGUGUGUGAGUGUGUGAGUGUGUGUGUAUGUGAGAGUGAGCUUUGUGAGUGAAUGAGUGUGUGUGAGUGUGUGAGUGUGUAUGUGUGAGUGUGUGUGAGUGUGUGAGUGUGUGAAUGUGUGUGAGUGUGAGUAUGUGUGUGUGAGUGAGUGUGAGUGUGUAUGAGAGAGUGAGGUGUGUGUGUGAGUGUGUGUGUAUUUGAGAGUGAGCUGUGUGAGUGAGUGAGUGUGUGUGAGUGUGUGAGUGUGUGUGAGUGUGAGUAUGUGUGUGUGAGUGAGUGUGUAUGAGAGAGUGAGGUGUGUGAGUGUGUGAGUGUGUGUAUGUGAGAGUGAGCUUUGUGAGUGAAUGAGUGUGUGUGAGUGUGUGAGUGUGUAUGUGUGAGUGUGUGUGAGUGUGUGAGUGUGUGAAUGUGUGUGAGUGUGAGUAUGUGUGUGUGAGUGAGUGUGAGUGUGUAUGAGAGAGUGAGGUGUGUGUGUGAGUGUGUGUAUUUGAGAGUGAGCUGUGUGAGUGAAUGAGUGUGUGUGAGUGUGUGAGUGUGUGUGAGUGUGAGUAUGUGUGUGUGAGUGAGUGUGUAUGAGAGAGUGAGGUGUGUGAGUGUGUGAGUGUGUGUGUAUGUGAGAGUGAGCUUUGUGAGUGAAUGAGUGUGUGUGAGUGUGUGAGUGUGUAUGUGUGAGUGUGUGUGAGUGUGUGAGUGUGUGAAUGUGUGUGAGUGUGAGUAUGUGUGUGUGAGUGAGUGUGAGUGUGUAUGAGAGAGUGAGGUGUGUGUGAGUGUGUGUGUAUUUGAGAGUGAGCUGUGUGAGUGAAUGAGUGUGUGAGUGUGUGAGUGUGUGUGAGUGUGAGUAUGUGUGUGUGAGUGAGUGUGUAUGAGAGAGUGAGGUGUGUGAGUGUGUGUGUAUGUGAGAGUGAGCUUUGUGAGUGAAUGAGUGUGUGUGAGUGUGUAUGUGUGAGUGUGUGUGAGUGUGUGUGAGUGUGUAAGGCAUGUGUGAGUAUGUGAGUUGUGCGAGUGUGUGUGAGAGUGAAUUGUGUAUGAGUGUGUGUGGGUAUGAGAGUGUGAGUGUGUGUGAGAGAGUGUGAGUGUGUGUGUGCAAGGUAAAGAAACCGUACAUCAAAUGGGAGAUUGUGGCAUCUUCUCUUCAAAGGUACAAAUGGUCCCCAAAGCCCCAGCCAGGAACAAUGGAUAGCAGGUACUAAGGGACCCCUUUCUGCCCUGUUUAAGGGAAAGAGACUUCCUAACAAGCAAGACUAGUCCAAGGAGGGCCCCAUGUGUUUGGUCAGGAAACGAGGAAUCCCCGUCCCUCUCCAGAGCUCCUCCAGCAGGGUCUAGAUGUCCUCUUGGGAUGGGGCAGAGAGAAGGCUCAGGCUUGCGCUGCAGAGGAUGACGGGGUCCAGUUUGGCCAGGUGGGAUUCCAUGUAGGAAGGUGAUGGGAUCUGAGGAUGGGCAGGAAGGGACCAGAGAAGCCAUCCGAGUGAUGGAAGGAGCACAGUGCUGAGAGUCGGCAGCCCCCGGUUCUCCCGUCUGCCUCUGCUACCAAGUCUGUACUCUGGAGAAAGGCUGUCCGCUGCUCUGGCUGGGGGGCCAGGUAUGCAUGAGGUAGAUGCAUGGCAAAGCCGCUUGGCCACCAUGCCUCAGCUGGAUCUAGUCUAAGCCCCUUUCAGUUUCUUCCUUUGAAAGAGGCUUAGACUAGGUCACUUCCUGCUCCCUUAGAGACGGAAAUCUUCCUGCCCAUGGUGCCCCUGGUCCCUUUUCACUGGGCCACACUAUCCUUGCAAAAAGAGUUGAAAUAGAUGGCUUCUGGGGUCCCUUCCAGUUUGCAGUAUCCAUGAUCCAAUGGGUCUCAGGGGAGGGAAGUGAUUUCCCCAUGUCUGAACAGGAAUUCUUUCUGCAACAUUCCUGACCAUUUGUCAUCCAGCCUCUAUUUAAGUGAUGAGUAACUCACUGCCUCAAACGGUGGCCCCUUCCACUAGAUUGCCAGUUCUAAUGUUCCAUGUUCUAGGGGCCUUCCUAGUCCUGUCCCUUCAUUUUCUAGAGGCAAAUGGAUGUCAUAGUGGAUAAAGUCCUGGAACUAGAAUCAGGAAGACCUGACUUCAAAUCCAGACUGACACUGAUAAGCUGUGUGACCUUGGGUCAAACUGAAGCCCAAAGAGAUUGAAGGGCACAAACUCCGACCAAAUUAAUAGCAGAGGCAGAAAGAAAUCCUGGUUUUUUGACCUGCUUCUCUCUUCAUUAGAAUAUGAAAUAGAGGACUUCCCAGUAUUCCUGAAGAAAAGACCAGAUGAGAGGAGAAACUCUGAAAUGCAAACACUGAAGUCAAGAGAAAUAUAAAAAAGGUUUAACUCCAAAGCCAAUGGGUUUUCUCGUUUUACAAAUGAAGGCACUGUGGCACAUGAAAAUGAAGAGAAGCAGCCAGGUCAAGAUUUGAACCCUGGACUUCUGACUCCCCUCUCUUCUGGUGUUCCAUACUUGGGGAAAGUCAGGGUAAGAAUUGGGCGGAACGGGGAGGAGCGCCUGUGCCUCUGGACUCCCGAUCCUAAACUCUUCCCAUGAUACCACUGGGUCUGGUUGGCAUCCUCAGGAGUUCCCGGGACCCUGAUCCUGCCUUCCCAGCAAACAGCUGGCAGGUCCCCAGCUAACUAAAGGGGCAAGAUGCUUCCUUCUUCGCAGGCUUUCAGAAUGUGUCAGAUGUUUUAAAUUCCAGCUGGUCACUCUAACCUCAGUGAGUGAUAACAUCUAGCAGACAACUUCCUGCAUUCAGGGGCCCAGAGAUUGGCGAGGAAUCCUCUCUUCUCAGCUGCUGCCCAUGGAGGAUCGCAUGAAGACCAGGAAAGGGAAGAAAAAACCCCAAAGGAAUGAUUCCUUUUUGGGGUGGAUGGAGCUCCGGGCAGGGCAAAGCCAGUGCUUUGGGAAGGGGAAAAAAUAAAUGAAAUGAUUGCAAAUAGAAGCCAGCAGAGACAAAGGAGGGGCCGGCUCCUGCCUUUGCCAUCAGUUCACUCAGGGCAUAAGGGGGAGAAUUUGGGAGAGACACAGGAAAUUGGAGUUGCUAACUAAGUGAUUUUAGGCAAGUCAUUUAUGCUGUCUUGGCUUUAGUUUCCUCGUCGGUAAAGUCUAUAGAAUUAUACUUAAAAAAAACCCUUACCUUCUGCUUUAGAAUCAAUAGAUAGAAUUGUGGCAAGGACUAGGCAAUUGGAAUUAAGGGACUUACCCAGGGUCACAUAGCUAGGAAGUGUCUGAGGCCAGUUUCGAAUCUCCCAUCUCUAGGCCUGACUCUUAAUCCACUGAGCUACCCAGCUGCCCCCAAAGUUAUACUUUUUCUACCAGCCUCACAGGGUGGUAAUGAGAAGACUACUUUUCAAAUGAGAGUAUAGAUUAACAAUGUUAACUCUUUUAAAUCUGGCCUCAGAUACGCCCUAGCUGUGUGACCCUGGACAAGUCACUUAACCCCACAUUGCCUAGCCCUUACCACUCUUCUGCCUUAGAACCAAUACACAGUAUUGAUUCUAAGUUCAAAUCUGGCCUCAGAUACUUCCCAGCUAUGUGACCCUGGACAAGUCACUUAACCCCACAUUGCCUAGCCCCUUACCACUCUUCUGCCUUAGAACCAAUACACAGUAUUGAUUCUAAGUUCAAAUCUGGUCUCAGAUACUUCCCAGCUAUGUGACCCUGGACAAGUCAUUUAACCCCCAUUGCCUAGCCUUUACCAUUCUUCUAAGCCUUAGAACCAAUAUCCAGUAUUAAUUUAAGACAAAAGGUAAGGGUUUAAAAAAAUAAUGUUAAGUCUCUGUGCCUUGCUUUCUCCUUCCUAAAACAGGCAGAUUUCUCUCUUGUAUAUAGACUUUAGAGCUGGAAAGAAACACCGAGGCCAUUUAUUCUAAUGCUACCAUCAUCCAGGGAGAGCCACCUGGACUUUGUUGCCUUUGAUUCCAAUAAUGAAGGACCUUCCAGGAAACACUGAAGCGGAGCCUGGGGUCAGGGGAUAGUCAGAGGAGCAAAGCCUGGAAGGCCUCCUCUCUGCGGGCCAAUGAAGCCCUAAUAAUGUUCAGGAUCAUAACCCCGGGCGCCUCAAGAAAGGGCUAAACUGAGUUUCCCACGCUCUGUUAAUAAGACAGGGAAAUGUGAAAUACCUCAUCGAUACAGAUCUGGCCAAAAGGCAUUUUCCAUUUCGCUAUAACUAGCAGAGGCUCAGAGAAGUCCACACUGCUAAUAAACCACUUCUCCAAUCUGGGGUUCGGUUUCCUCCUCUAUUAAAUGGGAGGGAUGGCCUAGGAAAUCUGAGAUCCUGCGAGCUCCCUAGAUCUCCAUUUUCCUCAAAUAUGGGCUGCAAUGGAGGACAAGAGCAUUGAAUUUAGAGUCGGUAUUUGAGUUUGAACCCAGCUACUUAAGAAAAGUAAUGAUAAUAGAAUGGCUAGCAUUUGUUAUUUCCCUAACUUUAGUGUUGUGUGUGUGUGUGUUAGAGAGAGAGAGAGAGAGAGAGAGAGAGAGAUCUGAUUUGAUCCUAGGAUCAAAUCAAAAAUGCCCUGAAAGGGAAGGGGGGGGAAGGAAGGAAGGAAGGAA